UGUCGAAGAGUAGUCAUUUGUAUACGUGAUACACUUAUACAGAGUUACACUUUUCGUAUAUAAGUGCUUCUUCUCGUUGGAGUUGUUUAUUUAAUGAGCAAUUACCUCUAAACUGAAAGCAACAAUU
ensembl:snoRNA F17C11.14 ncRNA